rnacentral:misc_RNA from 1 species
AGUCGUGUGUGUAUCGUAGUUGCGCGCGGCCGGCAGUUCCGUGCACGGCCCUGCAGCAGUCGCACGAGAAUAUUCCAUUAUAUAUAUACAUCGGUGCGUGUGUACAAGUGUAAGUGUAAGUGCCAGGGUGGUGUUGUAUAUAUCGCCUCGUGUGUGCGUGUACAUAUGAAAAAUAAAUAUACGAUCGUGUUUAGGCUGCAAGCAUAUACACACACACACACGAUUAUUCUAAUAUCCGCGAACUCGGUUCGUUAUUCUGUCCAGAGAACUUGAAACUCGAGUACAAGAAUAAAAAGGAAAAAAGUCCGUCCAUUAAAACGUCCUCUAGUUCUCUUUCGUCCCCGCUCGCGCGUUUGUGUGUGUGUGUGUCCAAAUGAUUAGCAUGUGUGUCACGUAUACAUAAAUAUUAUAUCGCAAUAUAAUACAAUAAUAAUGAUGAUGCAGUGCGCGUCGUGCAGUGUGUGAGCGAUGACACCGACGUGACGCGCCACUUAUUGCAGCCUACCGAGCCAGAGUACGAAUAGUAUAUAACGAGAAAAAAAUAUCGGGGCACAGGUAUAUCUGUAUAAUUCGCGAAAGAAGGUCGAAAUAUAAGGGGUGCAGCAGCAGCAGCGACGACAACGUAACAACGUCUUGGUGUAUGUGACUGCUGUAAGCUCGCUCGCGCGUAGUGUGUGUGUGUGUGUGGUCAAGUCGAGUCGAUGAACAACAACACACAACUGCAGGUCGUCGAAGUCGAGCUGGUGGCACGUUGUCCUCCUCGGCCUAAUCCGCCUACUAUCCAGCGGCCGGCGCAAAUGAGAGCCGCCCUCAAACCAGCCGCUGCCAGCUGACUUUACUGCGAGAAGGCCGACAGCAUAAUCGCGACGACAGACAUGGGCGGUAUGCCGCACGUGGAAGGCGUCAACAACGACAUUUACGCGGGCGUGCCGGUGAAGCGGCGACACCCCAAAGACAAGCUGCAGAUAAGCCAGCGCCAGAACAACGACAAGCAGCUGGACAAGGAGAACGACGAGGGCAACAACGCCGACUCGGAGAACAAGGAGGUGAAUCUGCCCCUGGGAUGGGAGAAGCACGAGGACAAAGAGGGCCCGUACUAUUGGCACAUCAAGAGCGGCACGAUUCAGCGCGAGGCGCCGGACGUGCACUUCUCGAAGAUCGAGGUGCGCCGAAGCUUCAUCAAGGAUUCCGACAGCAUAUGCAACUUUAACGCGCUGUCUGGGAGCCACUUUGGCACGGUGACGCGCAGCAACACGAGCUCGGCUCUGGACCAGGAGCUCGAGAACAAGCGCAAGGAGGAGCUCGCCCUAAAACGAAGAAGCUAUCCGGCGCGCGCCGACUCCGAGGACAGAAACAAGCCGAUCAGAUUCGCGGUGCGCUCGCUCGGCUGGACGGAGAUCGCCGAGGAGGACCUCACCCCGGAGCGCAGCAGCAAGGCCGUCAACAAGUGCAUCGUCGAUCUGUCGCUGGGCAGGAACGAUCUGCUCGACGUCGUGGGACGAUGGGGCGACGGUAAGGACUUGUUCAUGGACUUGGACGAGGGCGCGCUGAAGCUCAUCGAUCCGGAGAAUCUGACGGUGCUGAACACGCAGCCGAUUCACACGCUGCGCGUCUGGGGCGUCGGACGAGAUCACGGACGCGAAAGGGACUUCGCUUACGUGGCGCGCGACCGCACGACGCGCAAGCACAUGUGCCACGUGUUCCGCUGCGACAUACCGGCGCGCACGAUAGCCAACACGCUGCGCGACAUCUGCAAGAAGAUCAUGAUCGAGCGCUCGCUCCAUCAGAAUCUGGCCAGGCCCGUGGACGUGCACGGCCGCGCCGGUCUGGCGGCGAGGCCCACGAAUCUGCCCACCGAGCACAGGCGCUUCCAUCAUCGCAACGGACCGGCGCCACUUGUGCAAUCCUUCCCGACGCCCAUGGAGGAGCCGAAGAAGAUCCUGCGCGCCCAGUAUCUCGGCUCGAUGCAGGUGGCCCAGGCGACGGGCAUGGACGUGCUCAACGACGCCAUCGACCAGCUGGUCCAGAGCCAGCCCCAGUCGCAGUGGCGCGACGUCAACGUCGCCGUGGCGCCGAGCAUGAUAUCCAUACUGGCGCCGGCGGCGGCGAGCGACGGCAGCGGCAGCGGCGGCGACAAGCUCAUAGCCGAGUGCCGAGUGAGAUACCUGUCGUUUCUGGGCAUCGGCCAGAACGCCAAGCAGUGCGCCUUCAUCAUGCACACGGCCCAGGAUCUGUUCAUCGCGCACGUGUUCAACUGCGAGCCGAGCAGCGGCAGCCUCUGCAAAACGAUCGAGGCUGCUUGCAAGCUGAGGUACCAGAAAUGCCUGGACGCCCACCCGGCGGGCUUUCGCAGUCAGAGCGCGAGCGCCGGCAGCACGCCCCAGACGGCGCGCGGCUUGAGCCUGGCCACCCUCAAGUCGCUCGUCGGCAAUCUGACCGGGCGUAAAAACAGCAACAGCACGACCACGACUACGACGACGACGAACGAGAAGCUGUCGGCGAGCAACGAGUCCUGAGACGAAGCUCUAACGCUGCAGGUGUGUAGAACAAAGCAAGCUUUGAUGACUUUAAAGAGCUGCGUCGCCGCCGCCGCCGCUCGUGCCGCUUCUUCUUCUUCUACCGCUACCACCGCUACCACUGCUACUUCUACCACUACUGCUGCUGCUGCUGCUACUACUUGUGCUACUUCUUUCGCCUGCGCGGCGGAGCGCUUGAUCCAGCGGCGCUCCUCCUCGUUGUCCAUGAUGAUGAACCACGGCGUCGAGACCGCGCCAUCCAUGAGAACUGGCAGACGGAUCGUUGCGAGCUUACGAUAGGAACUUUGGCCGCUGGUAACUGCCGAGCGCGAGGUCAUACGCCACAGGCAUUUGCAGUCACCCAUGACCGUAAAAUACAUCGGUGGAGGAGGAGAAGGCGGAGCAGCGUCACCACCGAGUGCCUCGCUGAAAUCGCUACUCUCGCCCACCCUCGACACGACGACGAGGCGCCUGCAACUCGUGGCGGCCCGCUGGGAGAGCAGUCGUUCUUAGGAAAAAGAAUAAAUAAAAUAAAA